UGGUGGUCAUAGCACGAGCAAAACACCCGGCUCCAUUCCGAACCCGGUCGUUAAGUGCCGUAGCGCCGAUGGUACUGCGUCUCAAGACGUGGGAGAGUAGGUCGCCGCCA
rnacentral:rRNA from 1 species